AUUUUAGGUAUUCCUAGAUCAAACUUUAUGAAAUAUUAUAAGAGAUAUCAAGAAAGUGGCAUACUUACUAGUGUAGGACAAAAUAAUAAAAAGAGGAUAUUCACAGAAGAAGAAGAGGGAGAUAUAACUAAAUAUCUGAUUCAAUCUAGCCAAAUUUUUUAUGGCCUUUCAAUUAAAAAGAUAAAAAUAUUAGCCUACCAAAUGGCAGUAAAUAUGAAGAAAAAAUUUCCUAAAUCUUGGAAGGACAAUUCAAUGGCUGGCCAUGACUGGUAUUUAGGAUUUAUGUCAAGAAAUCCUACUCUCUCCUUAAGAUUCCCUGAAGCUACAAGUAUGGCUAGGGCAACUGGAUUUAAUGAAGAAAAUGUUCUAUACUUUUUUGAUUGAUAUAAAAGAAUAUUAGAUGAACAUAAAUUAGAAUGUAUGGCAAUUUACAACAUGGAUGAAACUGGACUUACCACAGUUCAAACCCCAUCCAAGAUUAUUGCACAAAAGGGUCAAAAACAGGUAGGAUCUAUUACUUCCGCAGAAAGGGGUACCUUAAUAACAUUAACACUUGCUGUAAAUGCAAUUGGUCAUACAAUUCCUCCAAUGUUUCUUUUUCCCAGAAAAAAAUAUUAUGACUAUUUUGUUAGAGAUGGUCCAUCUGCUCUAUAGGGGUAUCAAAUGGUUCUGGAUGGAUGCAAGAGGAGGAUUUUAUUAUUUUUUUGAAGCAUUUUUCUAAACACACUCGGUAUACUCCAAAGUCCAAAGUUUUAUUAAUCCUUGACAAUCAUAUAUCACACUACUCCUAUUCAGCUGUCAAAUUUUGUAUAGAUACGGGAAUAAUUCUAUUAUCUUUGCCACCCCAUUGCACCCAUAAAUUACAGCCUCUUGAUCGAUCUGUUUUUGGGCCUCUCAAAAAAUAUUACAAUAAUGCACUCAGGAAAAUUAUUUACAAUUUAUGAUAUUCUAUCGGUUAUUAAGGAUGUCUUGCCUUUAGCAUCACCUCUCAAUAUACCAAAUGGUUUUAAAGCAUGUGGAAUAUAUCCACUGAAUACAGAUAUAUUCAAUAAAGAAGAUUAUGUGGCCUCAGUUUAUGGAGAUUCUAUAUGUGAACUUCCAAAAAGCCCAUUAUUAGAAUCAAGCUCAGUAUAUUUGGUAUUAAAAGAUAUUUUAAAUACUAAUAGAAACUUAGAUAUAUGUUAUGAUACUCCAUCUACCUCUUAUGUUCAUUUAGAUAAUAUUCCUGGACCAUCGUGCAAUUUAUCAAUAUCCUUGCCUCAUCCCAAAAAGGAAAUAGUCAGGAGAGUUAAAAGGAGAGCAGAGAUAUUUACAUCAUCUCCUUAUAAAAAGAAAUUAAUUGAGAAAGAAAAGUAAAUAAUGGAAAAAGAAAAUAUUAACAAGAGAAAAAUAGUGAAAAAAUUAUUCACAAAGAUAUUUGUGUUUGUUGUAAGCUGGAAUAUAUCAAACAUCAUAAUGGUGAAGAGUGGUACCAGUGCAGAAUGUGCCACGAAUGGGUACAUGGUACAUGUGCUAAUUUUGAUAAAUUUUUUAUAUGUCCAAAAUGUGUAUUAAAUUAACCAAAAUUAAGUUUAAAUUUUUAUAUAUAAUUAGCUUCAAUUUAUAUGUAUUAUGAUAUUUUUAACAAUAAAAGAA